rnacentral:rRNA from 1 species
UACAGAGGUCUCAAGCGUUGUUCGGAUUCAUUGGGCGUAAAGGGUGCGUAGGUGGCGCCGUAAGUCGGGUGUGAAAUUUCGGAGCUUAACUCCGAAACUGCAUUCGAUACUGCGGUGCUUGAGGACUGGAGAGGAGACUGGAAUUCAUGGUGUAGCAGUGAAAUGCGUAGAGAUCAUGAGGAAGACCAGUGGCGAAGGCGGGUCUCUGGACAGUUCCUGACACUGAGGCACGAAGGCAAGGGGAGCAAACGGG